UACGAAGGGGGCUAGCGUUGUUCGGAAUCACUGGGCGUAAAGCGCACGUAGGCGGAUCGUUAAGUCGGGGGUGAAAUCCCAGGGCUCAACCCUGGAACUGCCUUCGAUACUGGCGAUCUUCGAGUCCGGGAGAGGUGAGUGGAACUCCGAGUGUAGAGGUGAAAUUCGUAGAUAUUCGGAAGAACACCAGUGGCGAAGGCGGCUCACUGGCCCGGUACUGACGCUGAGGUGCGAAAGCGUGGGGAGCAAAAGGG
rnacentral:rRNA from 1 species